ACGCGGGAAAGGGCAUGGGUGAAAAAUCAUAAACGUUCGUCAUAAUACAAUACACAUAUUUUCAAAAUUUCGUAUUUGAAUCAAGAUAUAUUUUUGGGUCAAUUAAAAUCAACCAACAGAAUAUAAUAUAAAAAAGUUUCUUAUUUCGAGGUUAUGUUUUUGGCGUCACAUAGUGUUUACUUAAGUUUUAAGUCUUUAUUUUUUCACAUUGGUGGUUUCUUCUCGCGUUUCUGUUUUUUUUUUGUAUUCACAGGAACUUCUAAUCCCGUUUUGUACCUCAGUGAUUUUUUUAUAACUUACUGGCUCUUGCGAAUAAUUAAGUAAAGUGUAGAGGCUUGGACCACAACUACUGGAAGAGAAUAGGAAAAGAGAAGGAAGCCGUCUUUAUAGUAUUUAUACCACAUAUUAAAACCUGGCCAAAACCAUUGAUAGUAAGAAGAGACCAGGGAGAAAAUAGCAUUCAUGGUUGCAUAAUCUGUGCCAGUGGUUCGGAGUCUCAUCUGUUGAUCUAUUUAGAAACACAGUGAAUAAACAAGAUAAGAAUAGCCAAUGUUGGCAAUGGAUAAGGCAAUGAAAGAAGAAGCUGGUCUUGAGCAGGGGUAUUUUUUUCCUACAACUAUAUUUCCAUUAUUUAGUAAGGAUAUAAAUAUAUGGCAGGUCCUAUGUGAAUCCAGUAGGGUAGGACCGGGCCCAAGAACUCCCAAGGCCUGCCCAGAGCCCCAACAAUGGCUAGAACCGUCUCUGUUAAAAAUUAUAAAAUUCUUAUCAAAAGUAAAUGUGACUAUAUGCUAGUUCAAUAUUUAAUGCUUUUAACUAUUCAUUUGAAUUGCUACUUACAUUUAAAAUUUGUCCGUUAAUAGGUGGAGUAAUAAUCUGUUUCUGUCGUUUAUUUUUUGAAUUAUUUUUAGUUAAUUCUGUAGAAUCAAGUGUAUUAUUAUCACAUUUUUCGUUUAUUAUAUCUUCGCAUAUUCUGUG